rnacentral:rRNA from 1 species
CUACGGGCUGCUGCAGUCGGGGAUAUUGCACAAUGGAGGAAACUCUGAUGCAGCGACGCCGCGUGAACGAAGAAGGCCUUCGGGUCGUAAAGUUCUGAUGUGAGAGAAGAAGAUAGUGACGGUAUCUCACCAACAAGCACCGGCUAACUACGUGCCAGCAGCCGCGGUAAUACGUAGGGUGCAAGCGUUGUCCGGAAUUACUGGGCGUAAAGGGAGCGUAGGUGGUUAUAUAAGUCUUUAGUAAAAGGCAUUGGCUCAACCAAUGUAGGCUAGAGAAACUAUAUAACUUGAGUACAGUAGAGGUAAGUGGAAUUCCUAGUGUAGCGGUGAAAUGCGUAGAUAUUAGGAGGAACACCAGUGGCGAAGGCGACUUACUGGGCUGUAACUGACACUGAGGCUCGAAAGCGUGGGGAGCAAACAGGAUUAGAUACCCGAGUAGUC